rnacentral:lncRNA from 1 species
UAGGACCCAGUACAUUAGAAAGCAAGGCCUCAAAACCAAGCAAGUUUGAGUUUGAACCAUUGACAGAUGUGACAGGCCACAAUGUAGUAAACUGAUUGGGUGUAAGAAGCGCCGUAGUUUCUCCCUGGAGAUCGAUGGUGGAGAUGGCAUCCAUGGCUUUCAUUUUCGAUACUGAUGACAACUCAACAAGACCAGGUGCAAGCCUUUUAAGCUUAAGUUUGUUUGCAGAAGGGGAAGAUGCUGAGGCAGGGGAUGUAAGAGAUGUAGGACCAACAAUUCGAAGAGAGAGGAGAGGUUCCCCUUGAGUUAGAGAAGCUUGACGUAAAUAUUCAGCC